CGGCGGACGGGUGAGUAACGCGUGGGCAACCUGCCUUACACAGGGGGAUAACAGUUAGAAAUGACUGCUAAUACCGCAUAAGACCGCGGAACCGCAUGGUUCUGAGGUAAAAACUCCGGUGGUGUAAGAUGGGCCCGCGUCUGAUUAGGUAGUUGGUGAGGUAACGGCUCACCAAGCCGACGAUCAGUAGCCGACCUGAGAGGGCGACCGGCCACAUUGGGACUGAGACACGGCCCAGACUCCUACGGAAGGCAGCAG
rnacentral:rRNA from 1 species